CGUUACCUGCAAAUAUAUGACAGUAGAUGAAUAACAAUGUCAACUAAAAAUCUCAACUAAAAUUUAUAGGAUAAUUACAACCAAAAGUUAAUGCUCACCGACGCUAUCGAAUCCAAGUAUGUCAUUGCCAACAGAGCUAGUCCGUCCAGUUUCAGCUUCAUGUUUGUGACGAAAUAACUUUUGACGUGCCAGACCUCUUCCAUUGUCAAGCUCGCCAUGAGAAAUCUUGUCGAUCUAGUCGCCUUCUUACUAGAUAUUGUCCUGUUAAACCAUGGUCAACUUUACUUUGGCGUAGAAGUACACAAUCAGCCUCCAAUGUCGCAGCAAGGGAUUGUAAAGUGGCAACUGAUGCGUCAUAUUCAUCCUCCUUUAAUCCAUCUUCAGAUCCAUCUGAAAAUAUUAUAUAAGAAUUUAAUAAGUCCUCUUAAAUAAUUUUCAAUUGAUACAACACAUCAUACUAUAACAUGUUUUUUAAUCAUCCAAUUAAGAUUGAUACUUGCCUUCAGCAAUACCAAUGUCAAAAAUGGUCUCGCUGCCUCCAUCCUGAAUCCUUUCUUUUAGCUUUCUCAACAACAGUUCAUAUUGAUCCUCAGAUGGACUAACUAAGACAUUCUAAAAUUUAUAUAAAUUGUAUUAUUAUAAAAUACUAUUAAACAGUUAAAAGAAAAA